ensembl:lncRNA
AUGAUCCUGGAGUCCCGAGAUCGAGUCCCGCAUCGGGCUCCCUGCAUGGAGCCUGCUUCUCCCUCUGCCUGGGUCUCUGCCUCUCUCUGUGUCUCUGUCUCAAAUAAACAAAUAAAAAAAAUAAAAAUACGUGACCUUCCCGGUCUCCGGCAGGGGUGGCAGGGGAACUCCGACGGGCCACCGGGCAGGGCAGGUGGAUCAACCGGCGCGUCGCAGGGGCUUGUGGGAGGUGCCGCGGGGGCUUGUGGGGGUUGCCGCGGGCUCUUCCUGUGCAGCUGUGCAGUGCUGCGGGGCGGCGGGCGCGGGAGUUCCCGCGACUCCUCGCAGCGCCCCCAGCUGCUUGCGGAGAGACUGGGGCUCACAGGGGCCUCUGGGUCAGCGGAACGACGCGGAUCAGAACGCGAGAGUGCGGGGCUUAGUGGCGUCUGCCCCCGAGUGGCUCCCGGGUCCCUUCUCCCCCGGACUCCCUGCGGCCGGCUGCUCCGUCCGGCUCCGAGCCCCACCCUCAUCCCCCCGACCCAGAUCCGGGUCGCGAUUUCGAGUCUCGCCUCGGAGCAGUGUGCUCCCGUGCUCCCCGGGACUCGGGUUUCUCUCUCGAGUGCCUGCUGGGCCGCUCCUGUGUCCAGAGGUCCCUAGCCCGCGUUGCUGCAGCUCUGCCUCCUUAACUCUGACCUCGCCCAGGAGGAAGAAGAGGUGACCAAUUCCCAGGUAAGAUGCAGUCCGGACCAGUCCGGGCUCUUGAGGAAAAACUUUAAGUUCCUCUUUCUUCCCUAGAAAAGGAGAAGGAAACAUUCAUGGAGCACUUGCUGCAUGCUAGAUACACUCAACAUCGACUUUUCUUUUCAUUCUCAUGAUAAGUGUGAGAGGUGGAUAUUAUUCCCAUUUUAGAGAUAUAGCAACUGUCUCAGUGGGGGGUUAGAGACUGGUUAUGUUCACCAAGCUGUUAAGUGGGGAAGUCAGGAUUCAUCUCCAGGUCCCUUGCUUCUCCUGUUGUCAGUGGACUAGUCUUCUCCUCCAUGGCCUGGGCAUAAAUUGUCCUAUUCUGUGAAAUGAGGGACUCCAAAGAGAAUGCUACCCUCGGGCCUGAUGCUCUCCUUUUAAGUUUGUUAUCUUCUCUACCUGAACAUGUUGCUCCUUCAUUUAUCCACUGAGUUAUGACCGCUUUUUUUUAAUUUUUAUUUAUUUAUGAUAGUCACACAGAGAGAGAGGCAGAGACAUAGGCAGAGGGAGAAGCAGGCUCCAUGCACUGGGAGCCCGAUGUGGGAUUCGAUCCCGGGUCUCCAGGAUCGCGCCCUGGACCAAAGGCAGGCGCUAAACCGCUGCGCCACCCAGGGAUCCCUGAAGAGAAAGACAAAUUGGCUUAGAUACAGUUCUUCAAAAUUUGUGGUUUCUUUGGGGGAGAUGAAUAUACACGUGUGUCAAAUAGUGAUUACCACUCGUGUAUACAUUAAGUAUAAUGAAAGAAGCCAUAUUUAAGUGUCAGUCUGAGGAUGCAAGUCGGUGGUGUAUCAGUGCUGGAGAAGUGAUUGGGAAAGACUUCCUGUAGGAGGUGAGCUUUUGUUUCUUAAAGAGAAGAUUUGAGUAUAUGAACUUCCAUACCUCUUUCGAGUCUUUACUUUUUUUGUUGUUAAUUGUUUUAUGGCCUAGUAGGUGAUCAAUAUUUACAAGUUUCAUGUGUGCUUGAGUAGAAUAUGUAUUCUCUAAUGGUUGCUGCCAACAUCUAUGGGUGUCCAUUUAUUUUUGUUUGCUUGACCCUUCAGUAAUUGAGAAAGAAAAAAUGUGUGAAAUUUCUUUGAGUAGUGGAUAUGUCAGAUUCUCUCUACAAGACUAAGAUUUUUAAAAAGAUGUAAUUCGUGGAUGUUUUAAGAGGUAUAUACAAGUUUAGAGUUAUAGCUUCAUGGUGAAUUGAAAUUUUUAUCUCUGUAGUGACCUUUUAUUUCACUAGUGAUGCUUUUCAUCUAGAAAUCUACUUUGUUUAAUAUUAAGAUAGCUAUUCCAGCUUUAUUUUCCUUAUUAUUUGCUUGGUUUAUCUUUUCCCAUACUUUUAACUUUUUCAUGGCCUUAUGCUUUAGGCUUAUCCCUUACUAACAAUUUAAAGCUGAAUUCCCCCCUCAAUUUGAUCAUCUCUGCCUUUUUAACUGGUGGGUUUAGUUUAUUUGCAUUUAGUGUAGUUACUGGUGUAUUUGAUCUGUUUAUCUUUUUCCUUAAAAAAAAAAAAAUGGGCUCCAUAUCCAUUGUGGAGCCCAUUGUGGGGCUUGAACUCACAACCUUGAGAUCAAGAUCCAAGCUGAUUUAGAAUCUGACACAACUGACUGACCCACCCAGCUGCCCCUAUACUUAUACUUUUAAUUUUGUCUACUUUUUGUUUUUUUUUCUCUCCAUUCUUACCUUUUGUUUUUUGUAUACUGUUUUUUAAGGGCUAGUGCUUUCCCACCCCACCCUCCUCAUUUUUUUUAUNACCUAUAUCUACUCUUUAGGUGGCUGUCCUUGAAAUUUUACCAUAUAUUUGCAAAUCUAAGUUUAAACAACUUUAAGAAUAUUGCAAAGACUUUAAAACUCUUUAUUAGUGAUUGCAUCCUGACUUAUAAACUGUUAUUUUCUGCAUUUUAAUUCUGUUCUUUUAAUAAAUUAGGUAUUAUUAGAAUUAUUAUACA